rnacentral:rRNA from 1 species
CCUACGGGGGGCACCAGUGGGGAAUUUUCCGCAAUGGGCGAAAGCCUGAUCCAGCCAUGCCGCGUGAGUGAAGAAGGCCUUAGGGUUGUAAAGCUCUUUCACCGGUGAAGAUAAUGACGGUAACCGGAGAAGAAGCCCCGGCUAACUUCGUGCCAGCAGCCGCGGUAAUACGAAGGGGGCUAGCGUUGCUCGGAAUGACUGGGCGUAAAGGGCGCGUAGGCGGUUUAUGCAGUCAGAUGUGAAAUCCCCGGGCUUAACCUGGGAACUGCAUUUGAGACGCAUAGACUAGAGGUCGAGAGAGGGUUGUGGAAUUCCCAGUGUAGAGGUGAAAUUCGUAGAUAUUGGGAAGAACACCGGUGGCGAAGGCGGCAACCUGGCUCGAUACUGACGCUGAGGCGCGAAAGCGUGGGGAGCAAACAGGAUUAGAUACCCCAGUAGUC